AACGAACGCUGGCGGCAGGCUCAACACAUGCAAGUCGAACGCCCCGCAAGGGGAGUGGCAGACGGGUGAGUAACACGUGGGAACCUUCCUCGUUGUACGGAACAACCCAGGGAAACUUGAGCUAAUACCGUAUACGUCCGAGAGGAGAAAGAUUUAUCGCAAUGAGACGGGCCCGCGUCGGAUUAGCUAGUUGGUGGGGUAACGGCCUACCAAGGCGACGAUCCGUAGCUGAUCUGAGAGGAUGAUCAGCCACACUGGGACUGAGACACGGCCCAGACUCCUACGGGAGGCAGCAGUGGGGAAUCUUGGACAAUGGGCGCAAGCCUGAUCCAGCCAUGCCGCGUGAGUGAAGAAGGCCUUCGGGUUGUAAAGCUCUUUUGUCAGGGACGAUAAUGACGGUACCUGAAGAAUAAGCCCCGGCAAACUUCGUGCCAGCCGCCGCCGUAA
rnacentral:rRNA from 1 species